rnacentral:tRNA from 1 species
GCGGGCAUAGUUUAGUGGUAAAACCUCAGCCUUCCAAGCUGAUGAUGAGGGUUCGAUUCCCUCUGCCCGCU